GUUUUUUGGGCAAAGGUUGCAUGAAACAGAGCAGGGUUCUGCCCUUCGGGCAAAACCAGGUUCGGCCGCCGAAGGAAGGUUCGGCCGCCGAACCCCUUGUGGAGGCAGUUUCGGCUGCCAAAGGUUACCCCCGAAAGCUAGGCUUUCGGUUUAGAAAGAGACUUUCGGCCGCCGAAAGAGGGAGUUCGGCCGCCGAAAGUGUGUGAGUUUCGUCUCUGGACGAGACCUUCGGCCGCCGAAGGUGCCGCCGAACAUGCAUGAGUUUCGUCUCUGGAGUGGGGUUUCGGCCGCCGAACCUGCCGCCGAAAGUGCCCUGUCCAGCUUUCUUUUGCAUGUUUUAUG
rnacentral:lncRNA from 1 species